UACGGAGGGGGUUAGCGUUGUUCGGAAUGACUGGGCGUAAAGCGCGCGUAGGCGGACCAGCAAGUCAGGGGUGAAAGCCCGGGGCUCAACCCCGGAACUGCCUUUGAGACUGCAUCGCUCGAAUCCGGGAGAGGUGAGUGGAAUUCCGAGUGUAGAGGUGAAAUUCGUAGAUAUUCGGAAGAACACCAGUGGCGAAGGCGGCUCACUGGACCGGUAUUGACGCUGAGGUGCGAAAGCGUGGGGAGCAAACAGG
rnacentral:rRNA from 1 species